rfam:Gavia stellata contig1653, whole genome shotgun sequence.
UGCACUGUAUGGUAUCUGCACCCAGCAGCAUUCUUCUGAUGGGAUGUUCAAAAAACAGUGCUACAGGAGUUCAGCAUUUGGCAUCGUUGGUUUUUCAUUCUGCUGUGUCUGUUAAACCUGGUAUUUUUGCUGAUACAGUC